AAUCAACGCUGGCGGCGUGCCUCAGACAUGCAAGUCGAACGAUUAAAGCUCUCUUCGGAGAGUGCAUAGAGUGGCGCACGGGUGAGUAACACGUAAGUAAUCUACCUUCGAGUGGGGAAUAACGUCCGGAAACGGACGCUAAUACCGCAUAAUGCAGCGGCAUCGUAAGAUGACAGUUGUUAAAGAUUUAUCGCUUGAAGAGGAGCUUGUGGCAGAUUAGCUAGUUGGUAAGGUAAUGGCUUACCAAGGCUACGAUCUGUAACCGGUCUUAGAGGACGGUCGGUCACACUGACACUGAAUAACGGGUCAGACUCCUACGGGAGGCAGCAGUCGGGAAUUUGGGCAAUGGGCGAAAGCCUGACCCAGCAACGCCGCGUGAAGGAUGAAGUAUUCGGUAUGUAAACUUCGAAAGAAUAGGAAGAAUAAAUGACGGUACUAUUAUAAGGUCCGGCUAACUACGUGCCAGCAGCCGCGGU
rnacentral:rRNA from 1 species